rnacentral:rRNA from 1 species
UACAGAGGUCCCAAGCGUUGUUCGGAUUCAUUGGGCGUAAAGGGUGCGUAGGCGGCGCGGUAAGUCGGGUGUGAAAUCUCGGGGGCUUAACUCCGAAACUGGCAUUCGAUACUGCCGUGCUUGAGGACUGGAGAGGAGACUGGAAUUUACGGUGUAGCGGUGAAAUGCGUAGAUAUCGUAAGGAAGACCAGUGGCGAAAGGCGGGUCU